GCUGGGCACGGUGGUGUGUGCCUGUAAUCCCAGCUACUUGGGAGGCUGAGGCAGGAGAAUUGCUCAAACCUGGGAAACUGAGGUUUCAGUGAGCAGAGAUCCUGCCACUGCACUCCAGCCUGGGAAACAAAGCAAGACCCUGUCUCAA
rnacentral:sRNA from 1 species